rnacentral:rRNA from 1 species
GCCAGCAGCCACACCCCCCACAGUUCAGACUAAGUAAUCCACCUGAAGCUACGCAGGUUUGGGCCUGGUCAGUACUUGGAUGGCAGCCCGACUAGAAAAGUUGGGUUGUUGAUGGAA